GUCUACGGCCAUGACACCCUGAACCAGCCGGAUCCCGUCUGAUCUCAGAAGCUAAGCAGGGUCGGGCCUGGUUAGUACUUGGAUGGGAGACCACCUAGGAAGACCAGGUGCUGUAGGCA
rnacentral:rRNA from 1 species